rnacentral:rRNA from 1 species
CGGCAGGCCUAACACAUGCAAGUCGAGCGGUAGCACAGAGAGCUUGCUCUCGGGUGACGAGCGGCGGACGGGUGAGUAAUGUCUGGGAAACUGCCUGAUGGAGGGGGAUAACUACUGGAAACGGUAGCUAAUACCGCAUAAUGUCGCAAGACCAAAGUGGGGGACCUUCGGGCCUCAUGCCAUCAGAUGUGCCCAGAUGGGAUUAGCUAGUAGGUGGGGUAACGGCUCACCUAGGCGACGAUCCCUAGCUGGUCUGAGAGGAUGACCAGCCACACUGGAACUGAGACACGGUCCAGACUCCUACGGGAGGCAGCAGUGGGGAAUAUUGCACAAUGGGCGCAAGCCUGAUGCAGCCAUGCCGCGUGUGUGAAGAAGGCCUUCGGGUUGUAAAGCACUUUCAGCGGGGAGGAAGGCGGUGAGGUUAAUAACCUCAUCGAUUGACGUUACCCGCAGAAGAAGCACCGGCUAACUCCGUGCCAGCAGCCGCGGUAAUACGGAGGGUGCAAGCGUUAAUCGGAAUUUACUGGGGGUAAAGCGCACGCAGGCGGUCUGUCAAGUCGGAUGUGAAAUCCCCGGGCUCAACCUGGGAACUGCAUUCGAAACUGGCAGGCUAGAGUCUUGUAGAGGGGGGUAGAAUUCCAGGUGUAGCGGUGAAAUGCGUAGAGAUCUGGAGGAAUACCGGUGGCGAAGGCGGCCCCCUGGACAAAGACUGACGCUCAGGUGCGAAAGCGUGGGGAGCAAACAGGAUUAGAUACCCUGGUAGUCCACGCCGUAAACGAUGUCGAUUUGGAGGUUGUGCCCUUGAGGCGUGGCUUCCGGAGCUAACGCGUUAAAUCGACCGCCUGGGGAGUACGGCCGCAAGGUUAAAACUCAAAUGAAUUGACGGGGGCCCGCACAAGCGGUGGAGCAUGUGGUUUAAUUCGAUGCAACGCGAAGAACCUUACCUGGUCUUGACAUCCACAGAACUUAGCAGAGAUGCUUUGGUGCCUUCGGGAACUGUGAGACAGGUGCUGCAUGGCUGUCGUCAGCUCGUGUUGUGAAAUGUUGGGUUAAGUCCCGCAACGAGCGCAACCCUUAUCCUUUGUUGCCAGCGGUUAGGCCGGGAACUCAAAGGAGACUGCCAGUGAUAAACUGGAGGAAGGUGGGGAUGACGUCAAGUCAUCAUGGCCCUUACGACCAGGGCUACACACGUGCUACAAUGGCAUAUACAAAGAGAAGCGACCUCGCGAGAGCAAGCGGACCUCAUAAAGUAUGUCGUAGUCCGGAUUGGAGUCUGCAACUCGACUCCAUGAAGUCGGAAUCGCUAGUAAUCGUAGAUCAGAAUGCUACGGUGAAUACGUUCCCGGGCCU